CCAAAGCCCUGCAGGAAACAGCCCCUUAGCUGUUUUCUUUCUGUUGCAGAGCCACCCACCAUCCGGCUGGUGAACGGUUCAAGCCGCUGCGCGGGGCGAGUGGAGGUGCUGCACACCCAGCAGUGGGGAACCGUGUGUGACGAUGACUGGAAGCUGGUGUAUGCCGACGUGGUGUGCCGGCAGCUGGGCUGUGGGGCAGCCGUCUCAGCCCUGGGGUCAGCGGCAUUUGGACCAGGGGCUGAUCCCAUUUGGCUGGAUGAUGUCAAAUGCACGGGCAGGGAGGCUUCCCUCUCUGAGUGCAGGACCAAGGCAUGGGGAGAGCACAACUGUGACCACGGGGAGGACGCUGGCGUGGUGUGCACAGGUAGUGCUGUCCCCAGGUACCAGCCCAGCAGCACCGCAGGCUGUGUUUUGGCUCCCWGGGAGAUGGAUAGAGCCAGGCCAAGGGUGUUGGGGUGAGGACUAAUCUUUGGAGGAUGAGAAUGAAGGUGACUUUCAUCUGCUGGGCAGGGAGAUAGGAAGGGGCUGCAAGUGUGGGUGUUUGGUUGCAUCACUGGGACACACGGGAAGGUACUGAACUCACUGCUUCACUUUCUCCGCCAGGUACAGCCAUGCCCAGAUCCACUAUCCCUCUGCCAGUGCUUCUGCUGCUGGGGCUGCUGGUGUCACUGACUCUAGUGSUGAUGAGUGGAGCUGUCCUCUUCCUAAAAUGGAGAAGAAAGAGGUACAAAGUCCUCCAUCACUCAGGCAACGAGGUGGAGCUGAACUCCCAAGGGACACACUGGAUCCAGGGAGGUGAGCACCAUGCAGCCAAGGCAGAGGCCACAGAGGAGCCUCCAAAUGAAAUCAUCUGGGAAGCCAAGGGAAUGACACUGCCCCAGGAUAAGUCCCAGGAAGGACGGGGGGACAACUGCAGUUCCCUCUCUGAUAUCGCCUCAUGAGCAGCACCUCAGUGCAAGGUUCUGUCCCUCCAUCCCUGCGUCUGGGGACGACGUGUGCGAAGAAGGACUUCAAAUCCCAGAAGCCUUUAAUAUUUGAUAUAUACAUAAAAAUAAACUGGCCCUUCCUGACA
rnacentral:lncRNA from 1 species